GUCAAACUGAGCCAGACGCGGCGGUGGCGGCGGCUCCGCGGGCUACGGUCGCUCCCGCCUCUCGAGCGCUGCCGGUGGCCGCAGCGGCGCACCCACGCCGGCCCGGAGGAGCAGAGUGAGAUGGAUGUUCCCUCCUCUACUCCAGGCCAGUUUCCCAAGGCCUCUGGGUAAUGUCUAUGUGAUUAAACAGUCUCUUGGGAAUAGAACUCCUUUCAGUUAAGCAGCUCUAUUUUCCAGAAAUCCCUGGAUAAUUUUAUGACCAUGUGGUAAAGUGUUCAUUUCUGUGUCGGGCACAGUGCUAAGUGCUGGGUGCUCACUGGUGAUGAGGCAGAUGAAGGUUACCAAACUUGUGGACAGGAGCCUCAUAUCAGAGACGUGGACCUCACUGUAGCCUGGUCAUGGCUUCCAGCUUUUCGAAUCUGAGGCUCCAAAGGAGGAAAUGACCAUUCAGGGAUCUUACUCCAGCUUGAUUACGGAGACUGAACCUUCAUAGGGUGCGCACUUACCAAGGACAGGAAGGUUUCUCUGUUUGAAGGG
rnacentral:lncRNA from 10 species